rnacentral:rRNA from 1 species
CAGCAGCCGCGGGAAAACGUAGGUGGCAAGCGUUGUCCGGAAUUAUUGGGCGUAAAGCGCGCGCAGGCGGAUAGGUCAGUCUGUCUUAAAAGUUCGGGGCUUAACCCCGUGAUGGGAUGGAAACUGCCAAUCUAGAGUAUCGGAGAGGAAAGUGGAAUUCCUAGUGUAGCGGUGAAAUGCGUAGAUAUUAGGAAGAACACCAAUGGCGAAGGCGACUUUCUGGACGAAAACUGACGCUGAGGCGCGAAAGCCAGGGGAGCGAACGGGAUUAGAUACCCGUGUAGUCCCUGUCUCUUAUACA